AAAGAUUAAGCCAUGCAUGUCUAAGUAUAAGCAAUCUAUACAGUGAAACUGCGAAUGGCUCAUUAAAUCAGUUAUCGUUUAUUUGAUAGUACCAUACUACUUGGAUAACCGUGGUAAUUCUAGAGCUAAUACAUGCUAAAAAUCCCGACCUCUGGAAGGGAUGUAUUUAUUAGAUAUAAAACCAAUGCCUUCGGGCUCCUUGGUGAUUCAUGAUAACUUUACGAAUCGCAUGGCCUUGCGCCGGCGAUGGUUCAUUCAAAUUUCUGCCCUAUCAACUUUCGAUGGUAGGAUAGUGGCCUACCAUGGUUC
rnacentral:rRNA from 1 species